rnacentral:rRNA from 1 species
AAUUUUGCGCAAUGGACGAAAGUCUGACGCAGCAACGCCGCGUGAGGGAUGAAGGCCUUCGGGUUGUAAACCUCUUUUCUCAGGGACGAUAAUGACGGUACCUGAGGAAGAAGCCACGGCUAACUACGUGCCAGCAGCCGCGGUAAUACGUAGGUGGCGAGCGUUGUCCGGAUUUACUGGGCGUAAAGAGCGCGCAGGCGGUCGUACAAGUCGCGUGUGAAAGCCCCCGGCUCAACUGGGGAGGGUCACGCGAUACUGUUCGACUCGAAGGCAGGAGAGGGAAGUGGAAUUCCCGGUGUAGUGGUGAAAUGCGUAGAUAUCUGGAGGAAUACCGGUGGCGAAGGCGGCAUCCUGGACCAUUACUGAGGCUGAGGCGCGAAAGCUAGGGGAGCAAAC